rfam:Oryza sativa Japonica Group DNA, chromosome 6, cultivar: Nipponbare, complete sequence.
AAUAAGUGUAGUUUUACACUAUUCACGUUUAAUGUUUGACCGUUCGUCUUAUUUGAAAAUUUUUUAUGAUUAGUAUUUUUAUUGAUAUUAGAUGAUAAAAUAUGAAUAGUACUUUAUAUGUGACUAAAUAUUUUUAAAUUUUUCACAAAUUUUUCAAAUAAGACAGACGGUCAAAUAUUGGGUACGAAUAUCCACGGCUGUACUUUGG